ensembl:lncRNA
GUGGGCAUCUUCAGUUUAACGGACUUUUCGGAAAGCGGGGGGCGGGAAAUGGCAGUUUGUGUCCCAGGGGUUCUUCCGCCUCUUCUCGCCUCCUCCGAAUACAAACAAAACUCAGCCCCCCAGCCUCCCCCCGCCCUCCGGGGUAACCGAGGACUCGGGGGACCGUGGAAACGUCCUUCCCCAAUCCGGCCGCCUGCGGACGCCCGGCUCCCGCGGGGCCGACGCUCGUUGGCGCCCGCAGCCUAACGCGGCCCCGCGGGGUCGGCUGCAGGAGCCCGCCGCGCCCGCGCGCCCCCGGAGUCCGCCGGCGGCGUCUCCUGCCACGGUGCGGGCCGGGCCCUCCCACUGCCCGCGAGGGAGGGCCGCAUCCCACCCCACGACCUGUGGGCUCGGCCGGCCAACCCUCUGCCCACGCGCAGCGAGAAGAGGCAAGUCGGGGUGUUCGCGGACUAGGACUAGGGGAGCCCGCGAUAGGCUCAGAGAAGCGGCGGAGGUCGGGGAGAGGCCUGCCACGCGCCCUCGCGGCUCGGCUUCGCGUCCCGACCCCCCGACAACCCCCCGCGGGGACCCGGCCUCCGGCGCAAAGGAGUCGGCGGGAGAGCCUGGAAGGAGAUCCCCAGGAAGGGAUGGCACGGGUGUGGGAGCUGGAACACAACUGGGCCGCCGGGACGGCUCGCCUCCUGGGCUGGACGUGAAAGUCUUUUCCCUCCUUUCUGAAAACUUUUCUCAGGCGUCUUUCACUUGGUGCCCCUUUGUGUGACUAAAUUUGGAAAGAAUAUGGAUCCGAGCCAGUCUUUCCACGUGUGCUCCCAGCUCCCAGCUGAGAAGGCCAAGGGUUCUCUUCCGGGAGAACUAGUUUGGCUAUUAAGGGAACCUCUCAACCCAGAGCAGAGCAAGAGAAAGUAAGGUUUCCGAGAAAAGAGCUGUUUACCAUCAAAGCAAACUGGGUCCCACACAGACAUGGUAUAUUAUACACGAAGACAGAGGUAAAUGCCCAUGGUUUUUACAAGUAAUUUGCUGCGCUUAUAUAAAUGCAGAAGAGCCUUCAGAAUCCUUACUGAUCAUACUGUUUGCUUUUUUAUUGUUAAAAAGGGCAUCAAAUAAUCAAAUGUAAUUUUAAAAAUCAAUUGUCUGGAUUCUGUACCCUCCUCAUCCCCAGAGACUGAUGCUUCUGUGUAUCUACAUUUAUCUAUCAGGGAGGAAUGAUUCGUUCCAUGGGAUAAUGCGAAUUUGGUGACGCCACAUGACGAACAUUUACUAACCUUUUAUUUAUCAAAGUGUCUUUCUCUGCUCAGUUUUAACAAGCUGGAAUUUCACUCGGAGUUAUACAUUUCUUGGGUUAAUCUAUAUUUUAUAAAUACGUGAAAUUAUUAAUUCAUUCUGUCUGUAGCGUGCGUGGCCCCUGAAGCUUAUGGCAGUGCUGUUAUCUGUUGUAGGGAUGCAAACAUGCUCUUUGAUGUGUUAUUCUUGGGGACUGGGAAGGAUAAAGACGGAAUACUCACUGGGCCCAGCUCUCCAGAUGGGCUGAAAAUGCAGCAGUGAGUUAUGUGCAUUUCCUGAGAGCAGGGUCGUAACUUCCCCAUCAGGACCAUGUUGGAGAUAACAGGACACUUCCGGGAGGAGCAGCCCCAGCCAUUCCGGCUCAGUGCCCCUCUAGGAUGGGGCAUGGCACCCCGCCCGCCAGUCCUCAGACUCCCCUUCCUGCACAUGCAUGCUUCAGUAAGCUGCUCCCGCAUUUGCUGUGUGGAAUGAGUUACACCAUCCAGGAAAAAUGCCCCGUGGGAAUAAUGAAAAUAAUAAUCAUGUACAGUGCCAGCAUAUGUCACAUCCUGUUCUAAGUGCUUUAUUCCUGUUGAUUCGUUUAAUCCUCACAAG